CUUCUCUCAAGAAAAUAAGGCGGUCAUCCAUCACGCGAAGAGUUUCUCGACUUCCAUCAAUGGCAUCAGUGGCAAUGCAGAUUCUUCGCAUCAAUGGUGAGUCGCAUGCUUUUUGGUUCCUCUGGUCACUCAAUCAUGUCGUAGGAUGAAAGGUCCAAAUCGACACGAGUGAUUGGUUGUAUACGUAGAUUUUUGCACGAGCACAGUGACCACGGGUAUUUAUUAUACCCGUGAGUAGUAACGUUUUCCAUUGUUUUAUUUAUUAGUUUAGGCUAGGUCUUCUUGUACAUCGCGCUUUUAAAUAU